AGGAAUAUUGGUCAAUGGGCGCGAGCCUGAACCAGCCAAGUAGCGUGAAGGAUGAAGGUCCUACGGAUUGUAAACUUCUUUUAUAAGGGAAUAAAGUCACCCACGUGUGGGUGUUUGUAUGUACCUUAUGAAUAAGCAUCGGCUAACUCCGUGCCAGCAGCCGCGGUAAUACGGAGGAUGCGAGCGUUAUCCGGAUUUAUUGGGUUUAAAGGGAGCGUAGACGGGCCGUUAAGUCAGCUGUGAAAGUUUGAGGCUCAACCUUAAAAUUGCAGUUGAUACUGGUGUCCUUGAGUACGGUUGAGGCAGGCGGAAUUCGUGGUGUAGCGGUGAAAUGCUUAGAUAUCACGAAGAACUCCGAUUGCGAAGGCAGCUCACUGGAGUGUAACUGACGCUGAUGCUCGAAAGUGUGGGUAUCAAACAGGAUUAGAUACCCUGGUAGUCCACACAGUAAACGAUGAAUACUCGCUGUUUGCGAUAUACAGUAAGCGGCCAAGCGAAAGCAUUAAGUAUUCCACCUGGGGAGUACGCCGGCAACGGUGAAACUCAAAGGAAUUGACGGGGGCCCGCACAAGCGGAGGAACAUGUGGUUUAAUUCGAUGAUACGCGAGGAACCUUACCCGGGCUUAAAUUGCAAAUGAAUUAUGGGGAAACCCAUACGCCGCAAGGCAUUUGUGAAGGUGCUGCAUGGUUGUCGUCAGCUCGUGCCGUGAGGUGUCGGCUUAAGUGCCAUAACGAGCGCAACCCUUAUCUUCAGUUACUAACAGGUCAUGCUGAGGACUCUGGAGAGACUGCCGUCGUAAGAUGUGAGGAAGGUGGGGAUGACGUCAAAUCAGCACGGCCCUUACGUCCGGGGCUACACACGUGUUACAAUGGGGGGUACAGAAGGCCGCUACCUGGUGACAGGAUGCCAAUCCCAAAAACCUCUCUCAGUUCGGAUCGAAGUCUGCAACCCGACUUCGUGAAGCUGGAUUCGCUAGUAAUCGCGCAUCAGCCAUGGCGCGGUGAAUACGUUCCCG
rnacentral:rRNA from 1 species